rnacentral:tRNA from 1 species
GGUGGGUUCGUCUAGUCGGCCAAGGACAUCACUCUUUCGAAGUGAAUACGCGGGUUCGAAUCCCGCACCCAUCA